rnacentral:rRNA from 1 species
CAGUAGCCGCGGUAACACGAAGGGGGCUAGCGUUGUUCGGAAUCACUGGGCGUAAAGGGUGCGCAGGCUGGUUCUUAAGUCAGGGGUGAAAUCCCGAGGCUCAACCUCGGAACGGCCUUUGAUACUGGGGAUCUUGAGUCCGGAAGAGGUGAGUGGAACUGCGAGUGUAGAGGUGAAAUUCGUAGAUAUUCGCAAGAACACCGGUGGCGAAGGCGGCUCACUGGUCCGGAACUGACGCUGAGGCACGACAGCGUGGGGAGCAAACAGGAUUAGAUACCCCCGUAGUCCCUGUCUCUUAUAC